UACGGGGGGAGCAAGCGUUGUUCGGAUUUACUGGGCGUAAAGGGCGCGUAGGCGGCCACCGCAAGUCAGUUGUGAAAGCUCUGGGCUUAACCCAGAAAGGUCAACUGAUACUGCGGGGCUAGAGUGCAGAAGGGGCAACUGGAAUUCUCGGUGUAGCGGUGAAAUGCGUAGAUAUCGAGAGGAACACCUGCGGCGAAGGCGGGUUGCUGGGCUGACACUGACGCUGAUGCGCGAAAGCCAGGGGAGCGAACGGGG
rnacentral:rRNA from 1 species